CUGGAUUGACAGCCUUCAGUAUCAGCAUCCACAUAUUUUCAGACUCACUUAAUCCUUGUUGUUCAAACCAGGAGUAUCUGUUGGCCAAUGUUCUUUUCAUCAGUUUCCAUAAUACUGCGUGAGGCUGUCUCCAUGCUGCUAUAUGACACUGAAGAGCUCUGUGUCGUUCCCAAGCUUGUCUCUUUCACUAACACAAGUUGGUCAAAUAAAAGAUAAUCCCUCAUUUGAAACCACUGGUAUCUAUUUAGAAAUGGUAUUUGACACGACUGGUAUCCUUUCAGAGAACAGUAUUUAAGUAUUUUUGCCAGGAAGCUGUUUAAAAGCACAAAAGCAAAUAAAAAAGCACCGCUAUAAA